CGGAGGUUAAUGAUUUGAAAAGUGAAUUAGUGAAUGAAAAAGAAGAAAGAUUAAAGUUGGAGAAGUCACACUCGGAACUGAGGAACAUCACUUUUGACCUUCAAACAAUGUCUUCUAACCAAAGCUCAAUGAAAUUGCAAAAAGAAUUGGAAAUUGUACAACACCAACUACAGAAACAAAUUGAAAAAUCCAG